rnacentral:rRNA from 1 species
UACGUAGGGUGCGAGCGUUGUCCGGAAUUAUUGGGCGUAAAGAGCUCGUAGGCGGUUUGUUGCGUCGGCCGUGAAAACCUGCAGCUUAACUGUGGGCCUGCGGUCGAUACGGGCAGACUUGAGUUCGGUAGGGGAGACUGGAAUUCCUGGUGUAGCGGUGGAAUGCGCAGAUAUCAGGAGGAACACCGGUGGCGAAGGCGGGUCUCUGGGCAGUAACUGACGCUGAGGAGCGAAAGCGUGGGGAGCGAACAGG